rnacentral:rRNA from 1 species
CCUACGGGGGGCAGCAGUCGAGAAUCAUUCACAAUGGGGGAAACCCUGAUGGUGCGACGCCGCGUGGGGGAAUGAAGGUCUUCGGAUUGUAAACCCCUGUCAUGUGGGAGCAAAUUAAAAAGAUAGUACCACAUCAGGAAGAGACUGCUAACUCUGUGCCAGCAGCCGCGGUAAUACAGAGGUCUCAAGCGUUGUUCGGAAUCACUGGGCGUAACGCGUGCGUAGGCUGUUUCGUAAGUCGUGUGUGAAAGGCGCGAGCUCAACCCGCGGACGGCACAUGAUACUGCGAGACUAGAGUAAUGGAGGGGGAACCGGAAUUCUCGGUGUAGCAGUGAAAUGCGUAGAUAUCGAGAGGAACACUCGUGGCGAAGGCGGGUUCCUGGACAGUAACUGACGCUGAGGCACGAAGGCCAGGGGAGCGAAAGGGAUUAGAUACCCGGGUAGUC